rnacentral:lncRNA from 1 species
GCAGAACUGGAGAUUGAACCCAAAGCCUCAUGCUGGUUCACAGUGGCCCAACACCCGGGCCACAUCCCCAGCCCAAGUCUCUAUAGUUUUAAUUACUCAUCUGAAUCUUAAAGCAGAUUUGUAUGGACACAAGUGGCAUGCACUCCAGAAAGGGGUCAUCUCUGAGAGACAGGAGGUAUCAUUCUUCUUCAACUGGGCCCCCAACCAUAAAUCAAAGGGACUCAUGGUCUCCCAAUAAACACAUCCGUAUGUUGAUCUGAACUCGUUGGAAAUCUGUAUUGGAAUGAACAGAUGUUUUCAGAGGAGCCCUGCUGUCUGAGGAGUGGUGGCUACUACUCAUGAAAUGCCAAGACUAAAAACGCUGAGUUAUCUGCCAUGUGGCAUCGCCCCCACCCUGGAAACCUUCACCAGGCUCCCAUCUGUUCCACAAAGAUAAAUUAGAGCUAGAAAAUAAGUGGUAAAUUCAGCUAGAUAACCUGUGUUGUGUGUAUUUUUUUUUUUUUUUUUUUGGUACCUGGGAUCGAACUCGGGUCCUUGCGCUUACAAGGCAGGCCACCGAACUGCUAAGCUAAACCCCCA